UACGGAGGGGGCUAGCGUUGUUCGGAAUUACUGGGCGUAAAGCGCCCGUAGGCGGCUUUGUAAGUUAGAGGUGAAAGCCCGGGGCUCAACUCCGGAAUUGCCUCUAAGACUGCAUCGCUAGAAUUGUGGAGAGGUAAGUGGAAUUCCGAGUGUAGAGGUGAAAUUCGUAGAUAUUCGGAAGAACACCAGUGGCGAAGGCGACUUACUGGACACAUAUUGACGCUGAGGUGCGAAAGCGUGGGGAGCAAACAGG
rnacentral:rRNA from 1 species